AUGUCCACUAACCACAAAAUAUUUAUUCCAACGUAUUUAUGUUCCACAAACAUUUGUGUAACUGAAAAUUGGGUUCCGUGUAUUUUUUGAACGAGCAAGCCUAUCGAGCAAAUUCUUAAAUUUUCAGUUUCAGUAUUAUACUGACGAAAUUUGCAUUUGUGUGUAUGUAUGUGUGCAUGUGUCAAGGUUCACUAUUGUAUCCUCCAAAUGGCGCCUCUGUCCUAGGUUCGCAUAUAGGUGUAUCUUUAGUCGUGAAU